rnacentral:rRNA from 1 species
UUGACCUCAAAUCAGGUAGGACUACCCGCUGAACUUAAGCAUAUCAAUAAGCGGAGGAAAAGAAACUAACAAGGAUUCCCCUAGUAACUGCGAGUGAAGCGGGAAAAGCUCAAAUUUAAAAUCUGGCGGUUCUUGACCGUCCGAGUUGUAAUCUAGAGAAGUGUUACCUGUGCUGGACCGUGUACAAGUCUCCUGGAAUGGAGCAUCAUAGAGGGUGAGAAUCCCGUCUUUGACAUGGACUGCCUGCAUGUUGUGGUGCGCUCUCGAAGAGUCGAGUUGUUUGGGAAUGCAGCUCAAAACGGGUGGUAAAUGCCAUCUAAAGCUAAAUAUUGGCGAGAGACCGAUAGCGAACAAGUACCGUGAGGGAAAGAUGAAAAGAACUUUGGAAAGAGAGUUAAACAGUACGUGAAAUUGCUGAAAGGGAAACGCUUGAAGUCAGUCGCGUUGGCUAGAAAUCAGCCUUGCUUUUGCUUGGUGUACUUUCUUGUCGACGGGUCAGCAUCAGUUUCGACCGCUGGAUAAGGACUUUGGGAAUGUGGCAUCUUUGGAUGUGUUAUAGCCCAUUGUCGCAUACGGUGGUGGGGAUUGAGGAACUCAGCACGCCGCAAGGCCGGGUCUCUGACCACGCUCGUGCUUAGGAUGCUGGCAUAAUGGCUUUAAUCGACCCGU